GACGAACGCUGGCGGCGUGCUUAACACAUGCAAGUCGAACGGAAAGGCCCUGCUUGCAGGGUACUCGAGUGGCGAACGGGUGAGUAACACGUGGGUGAUCUGCCCUGCACUUCGGGAUAAGCCUGGGAAGCUGGGUCUAAUACCGGAUAGGAGCCAUUUUUAGUGUGAUGGUUGGAAAGUUUUUUCGGUGUAGGAUGAGCUCGCGGCCUAUCAGCUUGUUGGUGGGGUAAUGGCCUACCAAGGCGGCGACGGGUAGCCGGCCUGAGAGGGUGGACGGCCACAUUGGGACUGAGAUACGGCCCAGACUCCUACGGGAGGCAGCAGUGGGGAAUAUUGCACAAUGGGCGCAAGCCUGGUGCAGCGACGCCGCGUGGGGGAUGACGGCCUUCGGGUUGUAAACUCCUUUCGCUAGGGACGAAGCUUUUUGUGACGGUACCUAGAUAAGAAGCACCGGCUAACUACGUG
rnacentral:rRNA from 1 species